rnacentral:lncRNA from 1 species
UGCUGUUGUUUAGGAGGCAGCUAUUUUCCCCUCUCAAUAUUAGUGUAUUAGAAAAAAAAAUUUAGAGCCACAUUAAAAAAUACCCAAUGAGAAAAAGGCUACUUGAGAACAACAACAAAAAAAAUUUUUUGGGGGGGGAGGGAGUAGUAGCAUAUGACAUUAGUUUCUUUACUGGGCAAUAAUUUGCUUAAUUUUUUGAGGGACUGUGUCUCUAUGAGAAAUUGAACAAUUUCUGAAAACCAAGUAGCAAAUUCCUAUAUCCUUGAAGGUACUCAGACCUCUUGGAUUCUUAAGCACAGCCAUGUAUCACUCGAAAAAAUUUUGAUAAAAAUGUUAUCGAUGAAGUCAUGCUUUAAUUUUUGUAAAGCACUCAAGUUUUGAGGGAAAUGACUAUGUUUUUCCACUUCUUGAGCUAACUUUAUAACAUUUACUAUAUUAACCUAGAUAUCAAUCAUUUGUAUAUAUUAAAUGAUCAUAACGCAAUUACUGAAGAAGGCAAUGUAGUGAAGGGGGAGCCAUAACAAAAUCUGCUGGCUGUCCACCCAAUUUUGAAAUUCUGAGAAACAACCCAUUCAUGCUUAUGUAAAUCCUUGGUUUCACUUUGUGAGAAGCAAUGAUUAGGUCCCCUGAAAUAGGAAAUUUCUCUAGAAUUGCAAAUCUGGUGCUGAAGUCAUUUUUUGAUCAGCCUUCUCAAAUUCCCUUCUCACUCACAGAGCUUGUUUUGAUUCUUCACAAAAAAUGCUGGGGGGGGGGGGGGGGUUCAUUUUCCUCACCCUUGAGCCAUGUGAUCCACAUGACUGAACAUUUGAGCAUGUUUUCAUUUUCCUAAUGGACUACUAUACUUUUAGAGUACAUCCAGUUCUGUGCUCAGACUGACAAGGUCUUCUCAACUGUUAUUAUAAAAGUUGUGGGACUGAGUAAACUUUUUAAAGCUUAAAGAAGUUUUCAUUGUAUUUGUAGUAAGAGACACUCAAGCAUCUCCAUUAUGAGAAAAAACGUAUAUUUGAGUAUUUUAUAUUUGAUAUAUUUAUUUAUUGCAUCUAAAUUAAAAGGAGAGUCAGCUUUUUUUUAGGGAUUUGGGGUUUCGGGGGGAGGAUAAAAACUAUCAAAUUUGGAACAACAAUAAAUACAUUUUGUAAUGUUUCUUAAAUCCUUUAGAACUUAAAACGUAUACAGGAUUACUGAGGUAGAAAAUGCUCAAAUUUACAAUAUGGACAGAUUUUUCCAUUAAGUCCAAGAAAACAGAAAUAACACCGAAGAUUAGUUUAAUAGAAAAGAAAUAGCUCAAAUAUUUUUCUUCAAUAUAGAUACCUCACUUGAAAAUAAGGAAAGCACAUUGUACUUAAAAUAGUUCUAGUCAACAUAAAAGUUGUGUCUAAAAGAAUUUGCUGCCUUUGGGUUGCCUAUGGGGUUUUACAGUCUGUCAAUAAUAUAUACACAUAUAUUUCUGUGUGUGUGUAUGUGUAUAUAUAUAUGUGUGUGUGUGUUUAAUAUAUGUGUUUACACACAUAUAUUAUAUGCAUAUACAUAUUUGUUUUAAUUCAUGAAGUUAGAAGUAAGUGUUUAUCUACAAUAGUCAUUUACACCAAGGUAUUUCUGAUAAUCUUUGAAAACAAGUGAAACAUCUGUUCUGAAACUGUAGCAAAAGAGAAAAGGAAAACUUUGGAAUUAUGAUCAGUGCAUUCAACGAUUUAUACUGACUUUGCCGAUGACGUACAGUUUGAAGGUAAAAGUUGCUGUGGUUAUAUUACAUGGCACAAGCUGUCCUCUACCUCACAUGAAAUUAAACAAUAUUUUAUAUGGUUUUAGUAAAACCAAGAUGCAUCUAUCUGGGCACCUAGUUUACAAAUUUUGAAUUCUAUUUAUUGAUACAUGACAUACUGUGCUCUUAGCUUAUACCUCAAUUGUAUUUUGUGCUUUCCCCCCUUCCAUUUUCAUGUCUUG